rnacentral:rRNA from 1 species
AGCGAACGCUGGCGGCGUGCCUAACACAUGCAAGUCGAACGUGAAAGGGAGCAAUCCCAAGUAAAGUGGCGUACGGGUGAGUAACACGUAGGUAAUCUACCCCAGAAUCUGGAAUAACCGGCCGAAAGGCUGGCUAAUACUGGAUAGAGCGACGGAAUCCGUAAUUGGGUUUUUCGGGAAAGGGAGCCUGUAAAAAGGCCUUCGUUCUGGGAUGAGCCUGCGUCCCAUCAGCUAGUUGGUGAGGUAAAAGCUUACCAAGGCAAUGACGGGUAACUGGUCUGAGAGGACGAUCAGCCACACUGGAACUGAAACACGGUCCAGACUCCUACGGGAGGCAGCAGUGGGGAAUCUUGCGCAAUGGACGAAAGUCUGACGCAGCAACGCCGCGUGAGUGAAGAAGGCCUUCGGGUUGUAAAGCUCUGUCGAGUGGGACGAAAAUGCUUGGAGUUCACAGCUCCAGGAACUGACGGUACCACUAAAGGAAGCACCGGCUAACUCCGUG